AUACGGAGGGUGCAAGCGUUAAUCGGAAUUACUGGGCGUAAAGCGUACGUAGGCGGUUAUUUAAGUCAGAUGUGAAAGCCCCGGGCUUAACUUGGGAACUGCAUUUGAAACUGGGUAACUAGAGUUUAGUAGAGGGGAGUGGAAUUUCAGGUGUAGCGGUGAAAUGCGUAGAGAUCUGAAGGAACACCAGUGGCGAAGGCGACUCCCUGGACUAAAACUGACGCUGAGGUACGAAAGCGUGGGUAGCAAACAGAAUUAGAAACCCGAGUAGUCC
rnacentral:rRNA from 1 species